UUUAUACUCUAACUGAGAAACACAAGUUCAUAUAAGAGCUAUCUAAUCGCCUUAGCAGUGGAAGCUACUGAUUCAGAAGCUAUGAAUAUUAGACAUAAAGCCAAGAACCUAUUGAUUGAUUCUAUUAGCAUGGGAUUCUGGGAAGCACGAGCUCGGAACCAACUUCCCGAAAAUUACUCACUGUAAAUUGAAGGAAAAAACAAUGAACUGAAAGUUUGUAUUUUGUAACAUAAGAAGAAGCAAUUCGCAAUUCAAAUGCUGCUACUGUUAGCACACACCAGAAACAGAA
rnacentral:lncRNA from 1 species